rnacentral:lncRNA from 1 species
GUUAACAACUACCUCUCUUCUAUCUUCUCUCUUGUAGUAGGAUAUUCUCUGAGUCUAUUCUUCCUAUCAGGACCGAAAUGCCUAACAGGAAAUGUGGUCAUAAUGGCUCUUUCUGGAUUCUGGUUCCAUUUGCAAUUCCUGCUCUAUGUCUUGAAGAAAAUCUGGGCAGAAGGAUUAUGUCUCAGGGCAUCAUCCGUGCAGACUAAAGAUUAUGAAGUCUGCAGCAGUUCCACUGUAUGAUUCAGCUCCCAGGAUGGAGGGACCGCUGGGUUCAUGUCACCAUUUUAAUGGAAAUCCUCGCCUACCUUUUAACAUGCAGAACUCCAGACUACUCCGUGCAGCUGUAACAUGGCCGAGAAGUGACUUGUCUGUCCUAAGUGAUAUGUCUCUUAAGUCCUUUCAAUGCAGACAACCCUCUGGCCUUUAAUCUGAGAAUGGUGUCUACUUUGUCAGGAUAGGAUUCUCCAUACUCUAGAAAAUGCCUUCUGGAUGAGAAGGGGGUGGUGGGUAUUGGGAAUUCAAGAAUAUAGUGUAAAACUUAAAAUUUUAUCUAGUCUGCUUCUUAUCCACCUUCAGUCUAGAUAAAAUGAAUCAGACAAAAUGUUACCUUUUCUUCAUCUCUCAUCACUAUAUAGAUUCCAUUUCCUUCUAUUCCCCAGCUCUUCUGUGGCAGCCCCCAUGACCCAUUUUUUUCUCUUGCCCCCGUUUCUUCUUUUCUAAGUCCCAUUCUCUCAGGUUAGCCAAAGUCAGUUUGGCAUAAAUUAAGGGCAAUUGCCCAUUAUUUUAAAUGUUUUAUUAAUUUUUUUUGCCCAUUUUUAUUUACAAGAUGUUUCUCUUUUAGCUGUUAGUUACAUGAUAGUCUGUUUCCAACACUUGACUAUGUGCUUCUUAGAGACAAGGACUGCAUCUUAUUCAUCCCUGCAUUUGAUACUCAGAGGACACUCUAAUGUUAGUCAUAAUUUAGGUGGUCCUGCUUGUCUUUCCACAGCUCUAGGAAUUAUAUCACUCAAAUAUGGCAGACAUAAUGGCUGAAAUAUAUUCCAUGCAUCUUGUAGGGUCUGCUCAGAUGCCUGUGUUCUGAGACACCAGGUACCAACCUGGUAAUCAUCAGUUUGUUCUUAUAGUUAAAAGUCUGUUUCUUGAUUUCUCUCUCUCUCUCUCUCUCUCUCUUUUAUUCCUUUGCUGGUCUGUUUUCUUUCUAAAAUUCUACAUAAAAUUCUACAUAUAAGUGAAGUCAUAUGGUAUUUGUCUUUCUCUGGCUGACUUAUUUUGCUUUGCCUAGCAUUGUACUCUCUAGAUCCAUCCAUGUCAUUGCAAACGGCAAGAUUUCAUUCUUUUUACAACCGAAUCAUAUUCCAUUAUAAAUAAUAUUCCAUUAUAUAUAUUUCAUUUCAUGUAUAUAUGGACACUUGGUCUGCUUCUGUAUU